rnacentral:lncRNA from 1 species
GACUGGUGUAGGUCUGACGGGGGAGGGCGGUCGAGGGGCGCGUGGGUCUGAGGGGCGUUGUGGGUCUGGGAAGCAAAGGCAUCAGAGGAAGAAAGAGCAGUGGAUCUGAGAGGAGAGGACUUCUGAGGGGCCGUGAGCCUGAAAGGGGCGGAGAUGUGUGUCUGAGAAUUGAGGACAUUUAGAGGAUGGUCUGAGCGGGCACGGGAGGAGAGAAGAUGCUGGGAAGAUGCGGGCCUGAGAGGAGAAUCCAAAACAGGAAGAGACUGAGCUGGCUGGUGGCGCAGGCUACAUUCCAUGCCCCAGAAGGUUGAAGGAAUCUGUGAAUCUGUGACAGAAGCUUCAACUUGAGUUUAUGAGAGUGUAGUGGGAGGCAGAUCUACUACGGGAGAGUAGAUUUGAAGAAGUCUUUUUUUUUUUUUUUUUGCCUUAGGAAGGAGAGGAGUCAGUAUGGGAUGGAUAAGAGUGAGGCAGAAGGCAGAGAGCCUAGGUCUGUGGUUAGAACAACAGGUAAGGCUGGAAAGAUUUAGCUGAGCAGGAGCAUGAUGGAGGGUGGGAAGUCAGAAUCAAAGAAAAGGGACAACUGAGUCAGCUUAGGAUGUUCAAGAAGUUUUGGUCCAGAAUCAGUCUUCACCUAAAAACGUUUCCUAAGUUGAAGCAUGAGAAGUAGUAGCCCAGGCUGUUUUCCAUUGUUAAAAAUGGCUAUACUGUUAUGCACAAAGGAAGUUUCCUUUCCUUUCCUUUUUCUUGUAAAGGGUUCCUUUUACCAUUGGCAGUUGCACUCUUUGGACUUCCUCUUUGUUGAAGUUAGUGAUCAGAGAACAAGAUAGACCCUGCUAACCACAUUUGUCCGUGUGUUCUGCGGGGGUUGGGGGGGUGGGGGAACAAUUUUGAAGUUUUCAUGUCCAUCUCACACAUUACUUUGGAUUUGAAGCAGUAUAAUAUUUGCAAUCAGCUUGUAUGCACUAAGACCAUUGUCCUCUACAGUGGGGGAAGGUUAAGUGCAGAGCUAAACAACACAGGUGGUGGCUUGAGUAAUGGUAGAUGGGUGUCUGGUUGAAGAGGGGUGUGAGAGAGGAAGAAGAUAAAGAAUGUAGUAAUACUGCUUUGUGAGGAAAUUAAACGUUUAAAAAUGUGAUCCUCAUGUCUUUAAAUUAAUAGAUAUUCUUUUUGUGUCUUCACAUUCUGAAACAUUUGUAAAUACAUAGACCAUUGUUCAAGAUUAAAUUUAGUCUGAUUUAAUUAAAUCAUACUUAAAUGAAAAUAUGCCCAUCUAUUUGACUUCAUAUUUUGGAAAGAAACAGCAUGGAAUGUUGACAAAUAUUUAUAUUGCACCUAUAAUAAAUUAUUAAGUUUUUCCAUCACCUGGUUUGUUACUGUUUAAAGAUCUCUUCCAAAUAACUCUCUGAGAGUUAUAGUAUAAUGGAAUGAUAGCUAGUCAGUUAUAGGAACUGGUCAUUUAUUAGUUGUAUGACUUUGGCCAAGUCACUUAACCUCUCUGAACUAUACUUUUCUCGUCUAUUACAUUGGAAUAUUAAUAACUCAAAGGAGGGCUACAAUUAAGUGAAAUAAUCUGUUAUUGUUUGUUGAUCUUAAUAUUGAUAAUAUUGAUAGUUAUCCUAUAUAUUUUCUACAAAGUAUAUACUGUACUUAAAAUUUACUACUUG